rnacentral:rRNA from 1 species
GAUGAACGCUGGCAGCGUGCAUAACACAUUCAAGUCGAACGGUGAUGAAACCUUCGGGUUUCUGAUCAGUGGCGGACGGGUGAGUAACGCGUGAGCAAUCUGCCCUAUACUCAGGGAUAACACAGGGAAACUUGUGCUAAUACCUGAUAACAUAUACGGAUCGCAUGUUCUGUAUAUCAAAGCUCCGGUGGUAUGGAUGAGCUCGCGUCCCAUUAGGUAGUUGGUGAGGUAACGGCCCACCAAGCCGACGAUGGGUAGCCGACCUGAGAGGGUGAUCGGCCACAUUGGAACUGAGAGAUGGUCCAGACUCCUACGGGAGGCAGCAGUGGGGAAUAUUGGGCAAUGGAGGCAACUCUGACCCAGCAAUACCGCGUGAGUGAAGAAGGUUUUCGGAUUGUAAAACUCUUUAAGUGGGGACGAAGACAGUGACUGUACCCACAGAAUAAGCAUCGGCUAACUACGUGCCAGCAGCCGCUGUAACAC